GUAGGUGGCAAGCGUUGUCCGGAAUUAUUGGGCGUAAAAGCGCGCGCAGGCGGUCCUUUAAGUCUGAUGUGAAAGCCCACGGCUCAACCGUGGAGGGUCAUUGGAAACUGGGGGACUUGAGUACAGAAGAGGAAAGCGGAAUUCCAAGUGUAGCGGUGAAAUGCGUAGAGAUUUGGAGGAACACCAGUGGCGAAGGCGGCUUUCUGGUCUGUAACUGACGCUGAGGCGCGAAAGCGUGGGGAGCAAACAGGAUUAGAUACCCUGGUAGUCCACGCCGUAAACGAUGAGUGCUAAGUGUUAGGGGGUUUCCGCCCCUUAGUGCUGCAGCUAACGCAUUAAGCACUCCGCCUGGGGAGUACGGCCGCAAAGGCUG
rnacentral:rRNA from 1 species